rnacentral:rRNA from 1 species
CCAUCGCCGCUACCAUGCAGUCGAACGAGAAAGGGGAGCAAUCCCUGAGUACAGUGGCGUACGGGUGAGUAACACGUGGAUAAUCUACCCCUUAGUGAGGAAUAACUCUGGGAAACCGGAGCUAAUACCGCAUAAGCUCGAGAGAGGAAAGCGGCUUUGUGAAAGCAGAGCGGCGCUGAGGGAGGAGUCCGCGGCCGAUUAGCUAGUUGGCAGGGUAAGAGCCUACCAAGGCAAAGAUCGGUAGCCGGCCUGAGAGGGCACACGGCCACACUGGCACUGAAACACGGGCCAGACUCCUACGGGAGGCAGCAGUGGGGAAUCUUGCACAAUGGGGGAAACCCUGAUGCAGCGACGCCGCGUGAGCGAUGAAGCCCUUCGGGGUGUAAAGCUCUUUCGUCAGGGAAGAUGAUGACGGUACCUGGAGAAGCAGCUGCGGCUAACUACGUGCCAGCAGCCGCGGUAAUACGUAGGCAGCAAGCGUUGUUCGGAGUUACUGGGCGUAAAGGGUGUGUAGGCGGUUGUUUAAGUUUGGUGUGAAAUCUCCCGGCUCAACUGGGAGGGUGCGCCGAAUACUGAAUGACUAGAGUGCGGGAGAGGAAAGUGGAAUUCCUGGUGUAGCGGUGAAAUGCGUAGAUAUCAGGAGGAACACCGGUGGGUGUAGACGGCUUUCUGGACCGUAACUGACGCUGAGACACGAAAGCGUGGGUAGCAAACAGGAUUAGAUACCCUGGUAGUCCACGCCCUAAACGAUGCANAUUUUGGUGUGGGCAGUUCAUUCUGUCCGUGCCGGAGCUAACGCGUUAAAUAUGCCGCCUGGGGAGUACAGUCGCAAGGCUGAAACUCAAAGGAAUUGACGGGGGCCCGCACAAGCG